rnacentral:rRNA from 1 species
GAUGAACGCUGGCUACAGGCUUAACACAUGCAAGUCGAGGGGAAACGACGGGGAAGCUUGCUUCCCCGGGCGUCGACCGGCGCACGGGUGAGUAACGCGUAUCCAACCUGCCUCUGACUGAGGGAUAACCCGUCGAAAGUCGGCCUAAUACCUCAUGGCAUCGUCUGCGGGCAUCCAACGACGAUUAAAGAUUUCAUCGGUCAGAGAUGGGGAUGCGUCUGAUUAGCUUGUUGGCGGGGUAACGGCCCACCAAGGCGACGAUCAGUAGGGGUUCUGAGAGGAAGGUCCCCCAGAUGGGAAAUGAACCACGGUCAAAACGCCUAUGGGGGGCAGGAGGGAGGAAAAUUGGUAAAGGGGGGAAGGCCAAAACAAGCCAAGUAGCGUGGAGGAUAAAGGCCCGAUGGGUUGUAAACUGGUUUUAGGGGGGGAUAAAGGGGGGGACGGGUCCUUCAUGGCAGGUACCGAAAGAAAAAGGACCGGCUAAUUCCGA